rnacentral:lncRNA from 10 species
CUCUGAGAGUGUACACAGCACAGUAUAAUAAGUAGAAUUUAUCAGAAGAGGGACAAGAUCGGUGCCCUGAGGGCUUUUCCACUUGAGUAGAGGCUCAAGUGGAAACUGUGACACCCAAGAAUCAGGGCACUGCCCUCACGGAGAUGUGGACUCUCCUGCUCUCACCGGCUGCAGCUGAAGAUAUGUGGUCUUAUUGUGGGUGGCAUUUUUCUUUUGUGGGAAGAUAUGGAAAGAGAUUUUAAUGUCUGUCUUCUAGACAGAAGAUGUUAAUUGAAAUCUUUUUCUAACAUUAUAUGUCUCACAUUACUACAUGUGAAAAAAAAGAGAGGCAUUUUUUUUUUCUUUAAGAGCCUGCUUUGUGUCUUCUGAGCAGCGAGCAAGGUUCAAUCAUGAGCCAGUGAGACUGAACACCUGGGAGCAAGGGCAGAUGGACAGCUGUCUUCCUCAGGGUGCCCAGGAAUACAAAUUUAGGCUCAUAACAAUUCAGCGUUCUAAUUACAGAGGAUGCACCUGUACUAGUAAAUAUGUACACAAAAAUACCUUGCUUAUGCACUGUCGCCCAGACGUCCAGAAGAUAAUCAAGAAAUAGCGAGUAAGCAAAACAAAGGUCACAUUUGGACAGAGCCUGUGAACACAAUAUGGCCAUCCAGAGGAAGAGAAUUCCAGGAAAAGUGCUAGGUGGCUCUAAUCCAGCAGACUAUGGCACUAGAAGGACAGGCUGGCAGAUGCUCAAUGGGCACAAGUGUUCAGGCUGAAAGAUGUUGAGCAAGCAUUUGGAAUGGAGAUGGGGUAAGAAGUAGUUACUAUCUCCCAGAUUCUGGAUGGAGAACCUCGGUCCCAAGCAGAACUAGCAGCCUUCCUGACCAAGAGCUCAACCACUGAUGGACUGGAACAGGGUGGCUGAUUAUCCCCGACCACAGCAGAGAUUGUUUGCACAGUCUACAGCAAAGCUGAGCCUAUAGAUGAUUAAAUGCUCACAGCUUCAAAGAUUAGAGGGCUAAAGGCGGCAGGAGUAAUUCAAGGAACACCAAUCCUGCUCUUUCCUAUCUGUAUUUUAGCCUUCUUGUUUAAGCCUUCCAGAGCAUGAUUACUCUUCAGCAGACCAUGGUAAUAUGUGCUUGGGAAAAAACAAAAUUAAACUAGUGUUUCAGGAAUUCUUUCAUAAUGUAAUCUGAACCAGUCCUUAUUAAUGAGGCCAAAGUAUUUCCCAUCCAACUGAAGUCCUGCAAUUAUUUAAAUGUGUAAGUGAAACCAUUCUUUAUACCUUCAUUCACAGUCCAUUUAAGUCAGAAACUGAGUUUACUUGGUUUACUAACUGGGCAUUAGGCACCAUUUGAGCAGCUUAAGAACUAUCAACAAUUGCAAUGGUCCAUAAUAAAUAUAUAUACAAUUAUAUCUAUAUAGACUGUCCUUCAUAGUUAAAAAUGAUGUUGUUGAUUCAGGUACUAAUCACAUGAUUCACUGUAACCGCACAGAUAAAAUUUAGUGUAUAUAUGCUUGAGGAUUUGCCAUUUAAAGAGCAUUUACAUUGUCUCAUUUAUUACUCAACAUAACCCAGGUAAUUUGGUGUCGUUAUUAUUAUUACUACUAUUUUACCAUGAAGGAAACAAGAUUCAGAGAUACAUACUGAUAAUUGUGGGUUAUUUGAACUCAGAUAAUGUGAGACCAUAUAAUCAGGAAGCAGGAGACCAAAGCUCUUUACAUAUAAUGUAUAUAUGCGUACCAUAAAUAAGCAUGAUUAUUUCUUUCAUAAUUACUCUCCAAAAUUCUGUUAGCUAUCAUACUUGAGUAUCGGUCAUUUAUAUGAAAUACAACACCCAUUUUAAGAAUGGUCAUUUUAUGUCAUUAAAUCUACAUGUAGAUGAAUUAUUCUUUUAUCAGUUCUUUCAUUGGAGUAUUUAAGUUAUUUAUUUGAGGCAUUUAGUUAUUAUUUGUGAAUAUAAUAGAAUUUUGCAGCAAAGGAUAUAAAAAUAACAUUUUUCAAGUCUAAUGUGAUUCACAUUUUAUUUUAAAUUUAAUCAUAUGUUUAAUUUAAAAAUAUACUAUACAGUUCAUGUGUAUCAACAGUUUUCUUCAAGUCACAGUAUAUUAAAAGUAGGCAUUUUAAUUUAAGUGUAUUCUUAGAGGUUGAAAAAUAUUGGAAAACUUUAAUAAUGUAAUUUCAUACCUUGAUGCCUAGUAUUCAAAGCCUUGUAGAUUUUCACUGUUAUAAAAGAGAGCUCAUGAAAAUUAUUUGAUUAUGUCAUUUUGGACAGAGAAGAAGAAAGGUUUUUAUUGACUUCAUUCCUUUCAAAUCACUUUGCCUUGGAAAUAUUUCUGAAAGAUUGCUCAGAGUAAUUAAUAUGAGGGAAGAGUAGACUAUAGUACAGGAGAACUGACUAGAAAUUCCUAAUGUAGCCUCUCCCGAAAUCCCAGUAAAGAUCCAUAAAUGCCUAAAAAAGAUAAAAAGUCACAAAACUUUAAUAAAAAAAGUUAAGUAAGCUAUUGCCAAAAGUUGGGAGAAUAUUUUACUACCCACAAAAUCUAUGUAGUUGUAUGAAACAGCACAAUUUGCCAUUAUGCAUAUGGUGCUAAAACAAGGAUCCUAUAGGCCUGAUAAAAAAGAGAAAUAUAAUUUCUCCCUCUAUCAUUGCUUGUCUUGGAAGCAGAUAGCCCUGCCCUAAGAAAGCUUUGCUCCAUAGGUAUCUUAUUUCGACAUAAAUUAUUGUUUCUAAUUUUUCAUGUUUAAAUUUCCCCUACAAUUCAGAAAGUAAAUCCCCAGAAAACAAAAAGACAAGAAAUAGGGAGAUGCUGAUGGAAAUCUAUUUUAUCUUUGAGGUAUAACCACAAUAAAUUUAGCACUGUGGAUAGGAGCGGUGACAGGAGGAUGUUUGUUGGUGGGAAAUACUGAUAAUUGUAGGUUAUUUGAACUUAACUGGUUUCAUGUCAGUGAAUCAUGCAAUGAAUGCUGGAGACAAACCUAACUCAGUCCAGCAGAGACAUGCUUAAAAUCUGUUCUACAGGCAUAGAUUGAGAAUGGGAUUUUAGUGAUAUUUAAAUAUAAGUGGUAAUUAAGAAAGUUGUAUAUAUCAACUGUUAGAAAAAUACUGAGUAUGAUUCUAUCAUUUCCAAUUUCAGAACCCGCAAAAAAUGUUAGGCUACUAUUUGGUAUUGAAACAAUAGGCAGGAAUACGUGAUUUAUGUCAAUCAAGAGAACAGAGAGUCAUAUAAGAAUCAUACUGAGUUGUAAAGAAAGUAAGAUAAGGUAAAACAUGAGAUGAGUAACAUAAGAAAAGAUAAUCGGUAAACUAAAAUUAACAAUAGUUAAAUUAAAAUCUGGACUGUGGAUAUUAAAGCAGAAAACUGGCUUACUAUGUAGGAAGCAAACUUUAAAAGUUUUUUUUGGAAUAAUAGGGAAAUAAAAAUUUAUGACAGAAGUUGAUGGAAAAAAGAUGACACAAACAUGGAAACUAAUAUUUUUGGGAGAGAGAGAGAGAAAGACUAGGAAAAAUAUAUAUCAGAAGCAAUAAUCAAAAUGUUUUUAAAAAGAGAAAAGCAUGGUUUUUUAGACAGGAAACACUUCAUGCUUAGAAGCAUUAUUAUAGCUAAAGUUUAAAUUAGAGUUUAUAAACAUCUCCAAACAUCCAAGCUAAAAAAAAAAUAGGUUACCUACAGAUAAACAAAAUUAAGUCUUGCCUGAGACUUCUCCUUCACAUUAUUGAACAACAUGAGGCCCUGCACUUUAAAGUCUACAGCAAUCUUUGGGGAAAUAUUUGUGAUUAAAAUUUGAAUAACAUUUCAAUUUUAUAUUAAUAGGUGAAAAAAAUUCAUUCUCAGAUAUUUGGGGAGGAUAAAUUUAGCAUCCAUUUUACUUCUUGGGAAAAAAUUAUUUAAGACUUAUUGGAGACCUAUUUCAGGCAAUUGAGUGAUGAAUCAAGAUUACAAAGUCAUGAAAGGGAAAUAGGAUAUUGGAUUUUUCUUAAAUGUUACAAUUCUGAACACUGAAAUCAGUAUUGCAAUGAUUAUGAGUCAAAAAGUAAUUCAUGCUACUAUAACUAACUACAAAAUGUAAUGCAGGAGUCAGAAAUAUUUUUGAAAGAAAAAAUGUGAUGCAAAAUAUAAUAAUUGAUAUUAAUCUAAGUCUAAAAUUAUAAGGAACAAAUUCUAAAAAGAAAUUGAGAGUAAAAUUUUACUAAUUUCCCCAAGUUAUUAGUAGAGUUUAAAAAUACCGUUUUUGUCUUUUAAAAUAAUUUCUUAAUUACUAAAAGACAUAUUCAUUUGGGAAAAUAAGCAACAUAAAUAUGUGUAUAAUUUAAGUAGCAGAUUCCCCACUUAUACCCCCUGUCAUGUAAACGAUGUAACCACAAAAAACUAGUGUGGUUUGUAUUUUCAAGAACUAUAAAGAGUUAGGUAGAAUAUAGGAGAAUGUAUAUGUGUGUGUGUGUGUGUGUAUAUAUAUAAUAUAUAUAUAGGGAGAGAAUGAGUAUAAUAUCUGUAUCUUUUGAUAUUGUACCUAUAUAUUACAUAUGAAAUUCAAAAUUGUUUUUAUAAAUAUUUUCUACAAAAUUAUAUAAUAGACAUACUAUUUUACAAUUGGUUUUCUGCACUCAGAAAGCUAUAAUAGACAUUCUUAUUCACUAGAUAUACCUAAGUUUAAGAACAUGUACAUAUUUAAAUAUGUAAUCUUGAUAAUUUAACCAUUUUUUAUAAUAAAUUAUAGAUUGUCUCUAGAUAGAUAUUAUUAAAUUAAUGAUGCAGUAUACACUCUUGAACAUACAUCGUUGUAUACCUAUAGUAUUUUUGGAAGAUAUGCUUCUAGAAGCACAAUAUUUGUUUUAGUGAAUAUGCAUACUUUUUAUCUCAAACAACACCAUUUGGCCCUUUCUCAAGGAAUUCAGCCUUUAACCUAAGCAAAAGCCCUAAGACUGACUCUCAGAACAACAAGAGUACCCCAUCUGGUAAUUUGCUCAUGCUUCCUGAGCAAGGGACUACUAAAGCCACAAGGCAGGCAUCCAGAUGCAUCCUUCCCCAUAUGUAUAUCAUGGCUUGGGAGCUGUUAAUGAAAUUUUGUAUUUACCUAUCUUAGACAGUAAAUAUUUAGUUUUAUUGAGGAAGGCACUGCAAUGGAUAGUAGUGAUCACUUUAGAUCCUUAUUACAAAUAUCCACAAAAUAGAUGAGUAAGAACAACUAUAAUUUGGGGAAAAUGUUUUAAAAAUUAUAAAACAAACAAUAGAAUUAAGAGUAAUCAGGCUGAACCAUGACAGAAAAUAUAUCCUAAGAAAACAGAUGUAAUGUAGGAAAUAAAAUAAUUAAAUGUAUGUCCCUAGAAAGAUUCAACGAUUCAUUACAAACAUAAAGCAAAUGUAUGCUGAUAUGAACCUCAAGCACACGAGAAAAAUAAAAUAUAAAACAACACAGUCAUGAAACAAAAUAAAUAGGGGUGCUGAAAAGUUGAACUGAUACUACUUGAUAUUACUUAAAACUGAAAUAAUAAUGUAGAUUCAGACUGCAAGGGACAAUAACAGCCAGAUAUCAAUCAAUAUAAGUUAUAAUUAACUCUAAAGAAUAUUUAAUGUCUGAUAUGAUUUGACUCUGUGUCCCCACCCAAAUCUCAUCUUCAGUUAUAAUCCCCAUGUGUUAGGGAGGGACCUGGUGGGAGGUGAUUGGAUCAUGGGGGUGGUUUGCCCCAUGCUGUUCUCAUGAUAGUGAGUGAGUUCUCACAAGACCUGAUGGUUUUAUAAGUGGUGGUUUCCCCUGCUCUUCUCUCUCCUGCCACUUUGUGAAGAAGGUGGCUGCUUUCCUUCUUCCAUGACUGUAAGUUUUCUGAGGCCUCCCCAGCCACGUGGAAUUGUGAGUGAAUUAAACCUCUUUCCUUUGUAAAUCACUCAGUCUCAGGGAAGUUCUUUAUAGCAGUAUUAAAAUGAACUAAUACAAUGUCACAAUUAUUAAUUGUCAGUUUUAAAUAAGGAUAGGCAUAACAUGAAAACAGUUUUACUAUCUGGGAAAGAAUUUCCAAAUUGUUUCCAUAAAGCUGAACAAUGAAGAAAAUUAAAAAAGAGGGGACGGGGAUGCAAAUAAUACUGUCUUCGUUGAGGAAGAAAUUACAGAUACUAAUUAAAUUUUUUUAGUCAAUUUUAUUGAGGUAUAAUUAACAUGCAAUAAAGUGUUCCCUUUUAAGUGUAUUUUUUGAGAAUUGAUAAACACCUGUGCAACCACCACCACAAUAAAGAUGUAGAAUAUUUCUUUUACAAAAUAUGUUCAUUUUGUCCCUUUCGAACCUCCACUCAUACAUCUAACUCCAGGAAACCACUGACCUAUUUUCUGUUACUGGAGAUUUGAUACCUUUUCUACAGUUCCCCAUAAAUUGAAUCAUACAGUGUGUGUGCUCUUUUAUGUCUGGCUUCUUUUGACCAGCAUAUGUUUUUGAAAUUCAUCCAUGUUUUUGCAUCUAUCAGUGAUGUGUUUAUAUUUAUUUCUGAAUAAUAAUCCAUUGUAUAGAUAUACCACAAUUUGUUCAUUCCCCUCCUGAUGGGCAUUUGAGUUGAUUCCUGUCUUAGGGCUAUUAUAAUAUUCAAAGCUUCUGUGUAAAGGUGUGAAAGCAUGUGGUCAUUUUCAUAAGAGGAGGACACAGUUUUACCAAUGGCUACAAGUGGUGGAUUAUAGGUAUCCUAUGUAUUUAGCUGUUUUAGAACAUACCAAACUUUCUUCCAAAGUGGUUUCAACAUUUUUAUUCUCACCAGAAAUAUAUGGGAGUCCUGGUUGCUCCACAUUUUCAUCAACACUUAGUAUCAUCAGUAUUUUUAAAUAUAGCCAUUCUAAUGAGGAUUUAGGAUCUACACAUCUGUUACAGUAUGACCAUACACAUCUGUUACAGUAUGGCUCAUUGGCCAUACAUAUAUCAUAUCAUCUUUGGUGAAGUGUUUAAUCCAAUCUUUUGCUCAGUUUAAUUGGGCAGUUUGGUAUUUUUAAGAAUGAAAGAGUUUCUUAUGUAUUUUUAAUUUAAUUUGUUUGUCAACUAAAUUAAUUAUAAAUAUUUUCAUUUUCUUAAGGGCUUCUUUUGUAAAGCAGAACUUUUUUAGUUUAAUGAGGUCUAAAUAUUUUUUCUUUCAUGAUUCAUGAUUUUUCUAUUUUAAGAAAUGUUUGUCUACUCCAACUUUGAAAGAUUUUCUUUGUUUUGAGAAGUGUUUUAUAACCUUCAUCAUUAUAUUUUGUUUUAGAUUACAUUUUAGGUUUUGUAGAGGUAUGAGAGAAUAGUCAAAGUUUAUUUUUCUUCAGUGUGGGUAUCCAAUUUGUUGAAAAAACUAUGUAUCCUAUUGAAUUGUUUGAGCAGAUUUGUUGGUAAUUGAUUGACCAUAUUUGCACGGGUUAUAAACAUAUUGUCUUUCAAUUUAUGAAUAUGGCAUAUCUUUUCAUUUAAUUAGGUCUUUCUUGAUUUCUCUCUGCAGAAUUUUGUAGUUUUCUCUUUUUUUUUGAGACAGAGUCUUGCUCUGUUACCCAGG